GACGCAUAACGUGUUGUUGAGGGCGCGGUGUGAGCCAGGUUCCAGGGGCGGCCGGGGCUUCCGGAAAAGGGCGGCUUCUACUGCUGCUCCGACUCUGGGUUUCUGAUCCAACGUUCCCGCUGCUCCGUUCGCGGCUCCAGCCAGCUUAGUGACCUGUUAAGAAGAUGGCACCAUGAUUGUAAUGCAAUGAAUGGAUGUGGGAGAAAUGAGACAGACAGUCAUUUGGCUGGAGUAUUGCCAACCCACGGUUCUCCAGGACUGGUUCAACUGGAAGGCCAAUUAUUCUAAUCCUUUCUCGUG
rnacentral:lncRNA from 1 species